rnacentral:rRNA from 1 species
UACAGAGGUCUCAACCGUUGUUCGGAUUCAUUGGGCGUAAAGGGUGCGUAGGCGGUCGGGUAAGUCGGAUGUGAAAUCUCAGGGCUCAACCCUGAAACUGCAUUCGAUACUGCUUGGCUAGGGUACUGGAGAGGAGACUGGAAUUUACGGUGUAGCAGUGAAAUGCGUAGAUAUCGUAAGGAAGACCGGUGGCGAAGGCGAGUCUCUGGACAGUUACCGACGCUGAGGCACGAAGGCCAGGGGAGCAAACGGG